UUCAAACCCUCGCACUGCGGCAUUGUCACACACCACGCUGGUUGCCAUGGAGAAAUAGUCCUCCUGGUCUCCAAGGUGAUGCAAAAGUGGAAGGAGAGGUUUCGGAAACUGUGACGAUGUGCUUUGUCAGCGCCGGGUGCAUGGCAGGGUCCAACUGUGUCUGAAAGCUGAACCUGGGCCUCCACUAAAAAGUCUCAUCUGCCUGAGCCGGAGCCGGGGCAGACAUAUUGACUAAUGUUCCAGGCAUAAUGAAAACAUCCC